GUGCUUACUCCAGCAGCACAUAUACUAACAGUGCUGGAACAAUACAGAGGCGAUGAGAAUGGCUCCUGAGCAAGGAUGACAUGCAAAUUUGAGAAGUGUUCCAUAUUUUG
ensembl:snRNA U6 U6 spliceosomal RNA